rnacentral:piRNA from 1 species
UGGCUAAAGGAGCAGAGGAAAUGGAG